ACCGCCCCUAUUCCUCUUCCAUCGGGACUGUGCGAGAGAGAACGAACAGUAAAAACACAGUGCUUCCUUUUCUACGAUAGUUAUACCCCCACUCUUGAAAUUUGGGAGAACGCGCAGUCUAGAUAUAUUAUGUCUAUGGACAGGUGUAUGAUAACGUUCAUAAGUAGUUGAGUUUAUCGCCAUGAAACAUUUUUAGGUUAUCUUUUUAAGUUUGUAGAAAGCUUCGAAUGUCGCAGUCUGUUUUUCGCGAUAUUAAAAAUCAAUGGACUUACUCGAUACCGUCGGUUUAUGUUCGUAAUAGUGAAACAAUGAGAUAAGAUCGAUUUUGUGCACCGACACGAUACUUUGAAAUGGAUGACAAAUCAGAAUCUUCUAACCACGAAAGAAGUUUUACGGAAAAAUAUAACUACACUAAUUUUAUUACAAAGCAAGAUGUUCAAUUAACCGAAGGAUUGACGAUGCAAAAUAGUGUUCUGCAAAAUAAUCAUUAUAGAAGUAACAUAUGCAGAAGUAAAAGUGAUUCAGCAUUAUGGAGGAAAGACAAUGAAAAACUAAAAUUGGACCGAUUAAUGAAGAACAGUAUUAAUUUAAUGAUUAAUUUUGGUACUGACAAAUGUGCUGCUAACAUUCCUGAUACAGAACUUCAAAGUUGUUGCCAUUUACUUAGUAAUGAAAAUUGCUUCUUGUACAAUGAUAGGUCUUUACAUGGUUGUCUUUCCAAAUAUACUAGUUUUUCUUUACCUGCAAUAUCAAUAUCAUCUAUAAAUACAGGUUUAGUAAAAAAUAAAUUUAAUGGAUCUGAUAAUGAUACAUAUACACACAGAAAUGUUGCAACAUGUUUUGAUGAAGAAGAAACAAUAUUUAAUCAGUCAAAUAAAACAAGAAAUGUUCAAUCUGAUUUACAAUGUUUUGUUAAUAAAAACAGUAUUAAUGUUUGUAAAAAUAAGUCAUCAGAAACUGAACAUGAUAAAAAUGAUUUUAAGAAACAUAUAACAAAUAAUAUAUUAAAAAUUGAACAAUCUUGCAAAGAGAUAGCAGAUUUACAUUUAAAUAAUAUUGAAGCUUCAGAUGAAAAAACUGAAAACUGUAAAGAUCUAUAUGAAGAAAAUAGAUUGAACGUACCUUCAACAGUAAAUACCCACAUGCGAAACAGUCUAAUAUCUCAACCAACAUUAGCUGAUGAUAGUAAACUUGUUAAAAUGUCACUUCUGACAAAUCCAAUAAAUAUAAUGCAGUCAAAUGUUCAGCUUUUAAAUAGAAGUCGUAACUUUCUAAACUUCAUAACAGAAAAGUCAACAAAUAUUAUGGAGAAAGCUUUGCUACCACAACAUUUGGCAAUGAAAUAUAAUCAUGUAUUGAAAUCUAUUGAAACUGAUACUAUGGGGGAACUUUGUGCUCCUCUUCCACCAAAUAAAUCUUUAGGAGAUAUAAUAAAUAAAUCAGAUACAGUUUUAACAACACAUACAAAUGAUUCUUUUAUUGUGACGAAUUGCAUUGUGAAACAAGAUUAUGAUAAAAAUGAAAGUAAAUCAGAUAAUACAGCAAAUGAAACAAGUGAAAACAAAGUCGACUUAUUUGCAUCUAUAAAAAAGAAUAAAAUGGACAAGCUUGAGAAUGAGACAGUAUCAAAUAAGAAAAAAUAUUAUACUAUUAACAAAAAUAAUACAGAUAAAUCAGAUUGCAAUAAUACCAAUAGACAAGAAAAGUGCAAUUUUUCAUUGAUGGAAACGGAAGGGAAUAUGAAGACUACAGAAAAAUUACAUGAUGAUAUAUAUAGAACAGAAUCGUCUGAUCUCCAUACCUUACUAGAUUUAGAUACAUCAAAAUAUGGCUCAUUAGAACAUCCGUUACAUCGUAUGUUGUUAGAGGAUUACACCCAUUUAAAACGUAAACACUUAAAAUUAUUGGAAAAAGUGGAUAAUCUGGAGAAAAUAAAUCAAUCAGAUAAUGAAGCACAAGCAAAUACAAAUGCAUACAAUUUGCAAAUGGAGAACUUGGAAAAAGCUAUGAUUAAAUUAACAAUUGAUUUGAAGGCAUCACUGGCCACACAAGAAGCCCUAAAAAAGGAGUGCACCACGAUAAAUAAAGAAAAGGAAAAUAUGGUUAUGAAAUAUGUAAUUAGUGAGAAACAGUUGAUUGAUUCGCAAAGAACAAAAAACUCUGCAGAAUGUAAAGUUAAAGAACUUCUGAAGGAUCAGGAGGUAUUGCAAUGCAAAUUGCGUCAAACACAAGGUGAGCGCGUAAGGAUAUGUGACAUCUUGGAAGUAAGACGUCGUGAAAUUGUUGAUCAUCAAAAGGAAAUAGAGAAAUUGAAAGAAGAUGCUAAAAUGAAGGAAAUCCAAUUAAAAUGGGCACAAAAUAAACUUAAGACUGAAAUGGAUUCACAAAAAGAUACUCAACAGAAAUUGGACAGGGCUCUGAUGAAAAUCAAUGAUAUGAAAGAGGAAUGCGAGCAGAUACGUCGCGAGACGCAAGAAUCAUUCCGCAAAUUUCAACAAUCCGAAGAAAAUAAAGCUGUGACGUUGGAUCAGCAGUUGAAGGAGCAUCAGGCGCGUUUAAUUUUAGAAAGGCACGUUACGGAAGAUAAAGAAACGCUAAGGCUUCAAUUGCAGAAGGAACUAGAAAUUUUAAAAUCUAGACAACAGGAUUUGAUCGAAGAAAACAAGAAACUUAAUUUGAAAGUUCAAGAGUCCGAAAAAAUUCGAUUGGGCUAUGAAAAUAAUUUGAGUGAUUUGAAAAAUGUGGCGAAACAACGUCAAGAACAAAUUAACGGAUUGUUAGACAAAGUUGCUCACUUAGAGACGUUGAAAUUUCAAUUGCAACAUAAAGAAGAGUAUAUAACAUCGGCCGAAGUCGAAAUACAGCAAUUACGAUCGGCUAACGAAGAAUUGCAAUCCGACAUGCAAGCGUGUCGUCAGAAAGAAGCUGAUAUGUUGGAUUUCACGCAAAAAUUAACGGACAAAAACGUACGUCUUCAAUCAGAAUUCAUCAUAAUUCAAAGAAAAGCAGAUUAUCUCGAGUCCGAACAUGGUCCAUUGCGUGAUUGUAUCAACGAAUUAAACAAUAAAGUCAAAGUUUUGGAGAGAGACUUGAUGGAAGAGCAAAAAAAACGAAAAGAAGAAUGCGAAAUUUUAGCUAAGCAUGUCGCUGAACAGACUCAACUUGCGCAAAAUAUUGCCCAGAAAUUGGAGGAUAGUCAAGGCGAGAAUGCAGUAUUAAAAAGGAAACAUCAAAUUUCUAUCAAGGAGCUAACACGGGAAUUGCAACAGUGCCGUAGAAAAUUAGAAAUGUUUGAAGCUGCAUCUCCCAGUAGUUCCUUGGAUAUUGCAUCCAGGACUGGAUCUAAUACUUCUUUAAAUACAGGUGAUACAUUAAACGGUGCCUUAUCGGAUAACAAUGCUAAUGGCGACCAUAUUCACUCUGUAGAACCCAAUAGACAAGUAUUGAUAAAUCACAUUAUAAAACUUCAAGAGAUAAAUGCAAAGAGAGCCGAAAAGCUAGAUUUUUUAGAAGAACAUACUCAAGCAUUGGUCGAAGAGGUGCAGAAGAAAAAGAAAAUCAUACAAAACUAUAUUUUACAACAAAAUUUUGGAGCUUUGGGAUGUAACGAAAGAGAUAGACAUAAGGGUGUGUUUCUUCCGGAUGGAUACUGCGUUGUAAUUCAGCUUUAUGCCGACGUUUCGCAAACAUUGCAACUUGCAUCAUUAGGACUAGGAGCUCCGAUACUGAGUUUUUCUGGUACAUUAGAUCCUGAACGAUGGCAGACACUGGACCGAGUGACGUACGAACAAGCUGUUCGCUUCGCUGAAGAAAAACGCGGGAGCAGAAAAAAAAGUACAACAAAAUCAAUCCACAAGCCCAAACACCAGUUCUCGCAGAUAUAGCAAAGAACAUAAGCAAACAAACCCUAUCUCCAUCUGAGAUCACCGUCUUCGCCAAAGGACACGAUUUCACAGUUACACCAUCCAGUAUUCCCAUAGAGGAAAUAAUCAGCCAAGUGGAGACGGCUAUCUACCAUCUUAUUCCGGAAGCUAGCAACGACAUCAGAAAUCGGAUCGGAGAGCCAACAUUCUCCGCAAGGCCAAAGCCCCUGUACAGAACAUAAGACGAGAAGAAAAUCUAGCGUCCAAAAACUUAAAGAAGGACAAGAUCUGAAUCCUACCAGCUGACAAAUAAAACGCCACAGUGGUUAUGUAUAGGGAAGAGUACUGCAACAAAGUGAAUAUUAUGCUCUCAGACCACAAAAUCUACAAGAAACUUAAACGCAACUCAACUUCGAGCGUAGAAAAGAAAACAGCUACUUUGCUCAAAAACUCAAGUCUCCCUGCGCCAAUUAUCAAAUAUUUAACUCCCCGAAAAUCUUCAGCACCCAGAUUGUAUGGUCUUCCUAAGAUUCACAAGGAAUGGGUUCCCCUACGCCCAAUCGUUAGCAAUAUCGGUGGAGCUACCUAUCAACUAGCCCGCUAUCUCACAAAACCCCUCCAGAAGCUCACUGGGCUCAAUGACUCACACAUAAAGAACUCAAUGGAUUUCAUAAAGAAGGUAACAAAGAUGAAGACAGGAACUAAUGACAUCUUAUUCCAAGGGGAAUUCUUCGAACAAACAUCAGGAGCUGCAAUGGGAUCUCCAGUGUCGCCGACCAUUGCCAACAUUUUUAUGGAAUACUUUGAGAAUGAAGUCCAGAAGAACGCACCUCUUAAACCUUCGGUAUGAUUUCGAUAUGUGGAUGAUACGUUUGUCAUUUGGAGUCAUGGCAAGGAAACGCUUCCCCAAUUUCUUGACUUCCUAAAUUCAUUGCAUCCAAAUAUCCAGUUUACAAUGGAGGUGGAACAAAAUAAACAAAUUCCUUUUCUGGACGUACUGGUUCGAAGGAACGAAGAUGGCACACUAAGUCACCGAAUUUACCGAAAACCCACACAUACUGACCGAUAUCUACACGCAACCUCUCAUCACCAUCCAGCACAAAAGAAAUCUGUCAUCAGUUUCCUGGUCUACAGAGCCUUAAAAAUUUCUGAAACAGCUUCCUUAGAUGAAGAAUUAGAACACCUCAAUCGGACCUCAACCAACAACGGAUACGAGAGUAAAGACAUCAAUCGAGUAACCUAUAAACUUAAGAACAAAAUUUCGGAUCCGAACAACACCCAAGAGCCAAAGGAAGAAAGAGUAAAAACUGAGUCACCAGAGGAAGAAAGAGAAAAGGACAAGACGGUUGUCCUCCCACAUCUUCAAGGUAUAAUAGAACGUAUUGGCAGGAAUCUAAACAAACAUAACAUCAGAGUGAUUUUCAAGACACCAAUAAAGAUCUCACAAUUACUCCCCAACCGAAAGACGAGAAACCACACUUGGACACCAGGUGUGUAUAAGAUCCCUUGUGCAUGCAGAAAAAUAUAUAUAGGAGAAACCGGGAAGAGGAUUAGUACACGGAUCAAAGAAUGCGAUGUACCAAAUACGGUCACUUUUCUCAAUCUGCCUUGGCUGAACACUGGAUGAAGACUGGAUACACCGUGCAAUUUGACAAAACAACCAUUCUGAUCCUCUUACAAAACUAUUACGCCAGAAAACAUCGAGAAGGGUUGGAAAUUCUGAAACAUCCCAACAAUGUUAACCGACACUUUUUGCAUAGACGUGGCAAGAACGUGGCAAGCACAUCGCUAUGAUGUCAUUACGUUGUAGCGACGUGCUUGCCACGUACGGUACAGUCCGGAGAGAUAAGGAUCUUCAGGUGAACCCUAUUUGGCAAGCUGUUCUCCCGGGUUUUAAUUUAUCAGCUGGCCAAUUAAUAUGAUUGGUAGAACAUUUCCCCCACCCCGUUCCCCAUUUCUCCCAACUCCACUUAGAAGAAUGGAAGAGUAUAUAAGGACAACUACAAACCAGGAAGACUCAGUAUCGGAGCUUCUAGCCCUGAUGAUGUAAGCUGAAAUGUUUGCGAAACGUCGACACAAAGCUGAAUUACAAUGCGGUAUCCAUCUAGAAGAAACACACCCUGAUUGUGUCAAUGGUCGCCAAAGUCUAAAAACUAGUAACUUGUAUUCAUAUUUGUAUUGCACUUAAAUAACGACAAAUUAAUACAAAGCCGCGUUAUGUCUAUAAUAAUAGACAUUGUUAUUUCUUUUUUUUUUUU